GAUGAACGCUGGCGGCGUGCCUAAUACAUGCAAGUCGAGCGAACAGAUAAGGAGCUUGCUCCUUUGACGUUAGCGGCGGACGGGUGAGUAACACGUGGAUAACCUACCUAUAAGACUGGGAUAACUUCGGGAAACCGGAGCUAAUACCGGAUAACAUAUUGAACCGCAUGGUUCAAUAGUGAAAGGCGGCUUUGCUGUCACUUAUAGAUGGAUCCGCGCCGUAUUAGCUAGUUGGUAAGGUAACGGCUUAUCAAGGCAACGAUACGUAGCCGACCUGAGAGGGUGAUCGGCCACACUGGAACUGAGACACGGUCCAGACUCCUACGGGAGGCAGCAGUAGGGAAUCGUCCGCAGUGGGCGAAAGCCUGACGGAGCAACGCCGCGUGAGUGAUGAAGGUCUUCGGAUCGUAAAACUCUGUUAUCAGGGAAGAACAAAUGUGUAAGUAACUGUGCACAUCUUGACGGUACCUGAUCAGAAAGCCACGGCUAACUACGUG
rnacentral:rRNA from 1 species